rnacentral:rRNA from 1 species
CAAGGCCUACGGGAGGCAGCAGUCGAGAAUCAUUCACAAUGGGGGAAACCCUGAUGGUGCGACGCCGCGUGGGGGAAUGAAGGUCUUUGGAUUGUAAACCCCUGUCAUGUGGGAGCAAAUUAAAAAGAUAGUACCACAAGAGGAAGAGACGGCUAACUCUGAGCCAGCGGCCGCGGUAAUACAGAGGUCUCAAGCGUUGUUCGGAAUCACUGGGCGUAAAGCGUGCGUAGGCUGUUUCGUAAGUCGUGUGGGAAAGGCGCGGGCUCAACCCGCGGACGGCACAUGAUACUGCGAGACUAGAGUAA